rnacentral:rRNA from 1 species
GACGAACCGUGCGAACGUUGUUCGGAAUCACUGGGCUUAAAGGGCGCGUAGGCGGGCCGCAAAGUCAGAGGUGAAAUCCCCCGGCUCAACCGGGGAACGGCCUUUGAUACUGGCGGUCUGGAGUAGGGUAGGGGCAUGCGGAACUGAUGGUGGAGCGGUGAAAUGUGUUGAUAUCAUCAGGAACUCCGGUGGCGAAAGCGGCGUGCUGGACCCUUACUGACGCUGAGGCGCGAAAGCCAGGGGAGCGAACGGG